rnacentral:tRNA from 1 species
GCGCGGGUGGUGGAACUGGUAGACACGCUACUUUGAGGGGGUAGUGGUCGCAAGGCUGUGAGAGUUCAAAUCUCUCCCCGCGCA